rnacentral:rRNA from 1 species
UACGGAGGGUGCGAGCGUUGUCCGGAAUCAUUGGGCGUAAAGCGUGCGCAGGCGGUUGGGUCAGUCGCUGGUGAAAGCCCCACGCUCAACGUGGGAAUGGCCAACGAGACGGCCCGACUGGAGGCAGGGAGAGGCCGGUGGAAUUCCGGGUGUAGUGGUGAAAUGCGUAGAGAUCCGGAGGAACACCAGAGGCGAAGGCGGCCGGCUGGACCUGACCUGACGCUGAGGCACGAAGGCGUGGGGAGCGAACGGG